rnacentral:rRNA from 1 species
GACGAACGCUGGCGGCGUGCUUAACACAUGCAAGUCGUACGGUAAGGCCCUUUCUGGGGUACACGAGUGGCGGACGGGUGGGUAACACGUGCGUAACCUGCCCACCACUUUGGGAUAACGCUAGGAAACUGGUGCGAAUACUGGAUAUGUGCUCCUGCUGCAUGGUGGGGGUUGGAAAGCUACGGCGGUUGUGGAUGGACUCGCGGCCUAUCAGCUUGCUGGUGGGGUAGUGGGCUACCAAGGCGGCGACGGGUAGCCGGCCUGAGAGGGUGACCGGCCACAUUGGGACUGAGAUACGGCCCAGACUCCGACGGGAGGACGCAGUGGGGAAUAUUGCACAAAGGGCGCAAGCCUGAUGCAGCAACGCCGCGGGCGGGAUGACGGCCUUCGGGGUGUAAACCGCUUUCAGCAGGGACGAAGCUUUUUGUGACGGUACCUGCAGAAGAAGCACCGGCUAACUACGUG